GAUGAAGAACGCAGCGAAAUGCGAUACGUAAUGUGAAUUGCAAAUUCAGUGAAUCAUCGAGUCUUUGAACGCACAUUGCGCCCCCUGGUAUUCCGGGGGGCAUGCCUGUCCGAGCGUCAUUGCUGCCCUCAAGCACGGCUUGUGUGUUGGGCCCCGUCCUCCGAUCCCGGGGGACGGGCCCGAAAGGCAGCGGCGGCACCGCGUCCGGUCCUCGAGCGUAUGGGGCUCUGUCACCCGCUCUGUAGGCCCGGCCGGCGCUUGCCGAUCAACCCAAAUUUUUUAUCCAGGUUGACCUCGGAUCAGGUAGGGAUACCCGCUGAACUUAAGCAUAUCAAUAAGCGGAGGA
rnacentral:misc_RNA from 1 species